UCCCACUCAUCUUCUGGCAAGUCAUCAGCCACAAAGCUUCCACCCCUCAAAACAGUUCCUGGGUGAGUCAUACCUUUAAUUUUAUUUUCAAUGCCUUAUGCUUGACACAAUAUCUUGAACUUUUAUAUUUGUUUUUCUCAGUGCCAAACCAAGACCCAGCAAGAAGGCUCGGCUAACUAAACCGGCUGACGAUAAUGUGGUUGUUGAACCGGAAAAGACUCCAGAUCCGGAAGAAACCAAUGCUGACGCCAUACUUAAUGAUCCGCCGCCUCAAGACCAUGACUUCUUUGCUGAACAAGUAGAAGUUGACACCACAAGCCAUGCUGAC
rnacentral:lncRNA from 1 species